CCGGUUAAGAGUUUCUGAGUUGUUUUAAUGGGAAGACACGCCCAGCGGAAUUGAGCCACGGCACGAUAUUGAAUACACCUGUGUGGCUCAAUUAGGGAGGUUUGUUGGGUCCCGGUGGCUCUAUAAAAAGUUUGUCUAAAGGCACCAUUGUCAUUCUUCUCCGUACUGCGUGUAACAAAAGUCUAAAUGGUGAUAUUUCCUGUAGCUAUUCCCUGGGAUGUGCGUGCAGUGGCGAGCGCAGGUUGCAUAAAGCUUACUGUAGCCUAAUUGAUCUUUCACUUUGAGGUGUGGUCCAGAGCGCUAGCUGCUGUUUUCUUAGGGGUUCUAUACUCGUGGUGUCGCUGUUUGUCGGCUGGCUGUAGUGAUUGGACGUUUGCGGUUUCGAACCGCUGUAGUGACCGAGCUCUUCCACAAUCUCUGCCCUGACUGGUCUGUAUGAAGGUUGCUGAAUUAUUGGGCAUGCGUGUUUUAUAUGGACUAUUAAAGUGAACUAGAACAACGAGAAGUUUGGUCUGUAACAGCAGCCGGAACAAUUUUAAAGAUUAAUUGUGUUGAUGUAUUUUUCUUUCUUUUUUUUCCUUUCUUUGAUCUUGAACACUGUAUUUGCCAGGUAUGUCCACAUGUGAAUGAGUUGACCUGUGAUAUGAGGCUUAGCUGAAGAGGAGAGUGUAUUUGCUUUUUUUUGUUUGGUUUCUUUUGAAUUGUUUAUCACUUGCUUUGAUUUUGUUCACUGAUUGUUGUGUGGUUUGUCUCUUCAGCUAUUGCGGAUGAAUUACGGUCUCUUAUUUGCUGUGGGUAUUUAAUUGGUAAUUGUGUAUGAGACCUAUUUUUAGAUGUUUUAAAAUUAAUGUCCCUCGUACAAAAUAAACUUUGUAUACUUUUGAA